UUGUCAUUUAUCAAAACCUACAAAUAUGAACACACGUUUAGUUUAGUGCCUUGUGAGAAGGUGUUUCAACACUAGAAUGGUCACUCAAGUGAUGCAUUUAGCUUUUAUCUGAUUUUAUUACAUAAAGAGCCUAUGUGCCAAUUUUAUGCUUAACCACUUUUAUUUAAUAUAAUAUUUAUUUAAGAAAGUGAACGUCGUCUAAAGCACGCAUUCGGAUUGCGUCGCAUGAAAUGAACCCGCAAUCCUAGGCAUAAUCUAUUCAACGUUUUAGGAUUUGGAUUUGGGCCGCAUAAAAUGCCCACCCGUAUUUAGGAAUGUAAUUUUAUUAGAAUCGCGACUAUUUUUUACAUGAAAUGAACCUGCAAUCCUAGGCAUACUCUAUUCAACAUUUUAGGACUUGGAUUUGGACCGCAUAAAAUGCCCACCCGUAUUUAGGAAUGUAGUUUUAUUAGAAUCGCGUCUAAAAGAGUCUAGCGCGUUAUUAUCUUUUGGGAGGGUUGUGAAAUUCAUUAAACGACCCUUCCUGAUUUCUAAUAUAUUUUUGAACCUUUAUUAAGGGCCCCGCAAUUUUGCGUUUUCAUUGGGCGAGGCUCGCCUCAUUUCAAUUUUUAAAGGAUAAGCCUAAAAGCGACUAUAUUUUCUAUUUUUUUGUUUUUAUCGUUAAAAGAAAAGAAAAAAAAUCCUAAUUGGUUAUUAGAAUUCAGAUUCCGAGUUCAAGUCCUGGUCCAAAUAAAAGGGAAUACUUUUUAGCUUGAACCCGCUACGUAACUCAAACCCGAAAUUAUGUUAUUGCCCUAACCUUGCAUUGGUCUAUUUGAAUUUAGCCCAAUUGCUAAUAUGAACCAUAGGUAUGCAUAUUCCCAACACGCAAUUAUCAUAACAAUUAUAGAAUUUGUCAGUGUGCAAAUCAUAACAUUGGCACCACACAAAUCUUAACUCAACCAAAAGAAUAAACACUUAAAUUGCAUUCUAAUUAUAAAAACAAGGAAGCAUAAUCCGCAUUAAUAACUAAGAAAACUCACUUGUAAUUCACUGAAUAUUUUCCAUAUGACCCAAAUAAAUUUUCAGAGUCUUCAAAUUUUGAACAUAGAAACAUAGAUAGAAAGGAAAAGGGAUUGACCUCUGUUACCUCAGCAAAACUCGACUAUGCUACGUGACCGGAAAAAGGAACUUCAACCACAAACCAGCGAUAACCUCGAACGGAAAUCAUGACCGAGGAAACAGAAAACUCGCUGAUUGGAAUCGUUGACUAGAGGCGAAGACCAAAAAAUAAAACGGGAACAGAGAUGAAGAUUUGAGCCCACCUUGAACGUCUACCUCAAAUCGUUUCCGACAUCUCAGCUCCACAUAUACCUCCAAACGAGCUUCAAAUGGAAUUUGUGAGUUUCGCGGUGUGAUACGACUGUUUGGUGUUUGAGAAGAAUGUUGGACGUUUUCCGACGAGGGGUCGGGAAUGGAAACUGCUGACGCUAGUUCUUUCUAAGGUUUUCUGUCCGGUAAAAGGUAUUCCAUGCGGAGAUAGGGUUGGGGUAAAAGUGAAAACGAUGAAGUUCAGGGUUAUGGGUCUUGUGUUGAACCACAUCAAGCUGAAGGUAAAUGGCCGGCCAUUAUAUUUGGUUUCUCUGUUCAAAAUGUGGAAGAAGAAGACGUGAGAGGGGACCUUGUAUCAUUUAUUGCGGCUGAUGGUGUGUUUUUUGGUGUAUCUUUUUUUUUGUUUUUGUUUUUUUUCUUUUUCCAUUGCGUAGAGAAUGGUUUUAUAGAGUGUGUGGAAUGUGGUGUUAUGUCGGGGAGUCUUAUUUUGGGAUAAGGUGUUACGUGAGGUAAUAUUUUGGGGGAAAGAUUUUAGGUGGGGAAAUAUUUUGGGGGAGAAUAUUUUGGGGAAGGUGUUUCCCAUUUUUUUUUACUCCCAAUUUCUUUUAUCUUCCUUUUUUUGUAUUUUAUUUACU
rnacentral:lncRNA from 1 species